UACGUGAGGGGGCUAGCGUUGUCCGGAAUCAUUGGGCGUAAAGAGCGUGUAGGCGGUCCGGUAAGUCCGCUGUGAAAGUCGGGGGGCUCAACCCUCGAAUGCCGGUGGAUACUGUCGGGCUAGAGUGCGGAAGAGGCGAGUGGAAGUUCCUGGUGUAGCGGUGAAAUGCGCAAGAUAUCAGGAGGAACACCUAUUGCGAAGGCAGCUCGCUGGGACGUAACUGACGCUGAGACGCGAAAGCGUGGGGAGCAAACAGG
rnacentral:rRNA from 1 species